UGGCCCUCCCACGAGAGAGCUGCCUUCCGGGCGCUUCACCUGGUGGGUGCGAGAUAGAGACGAGGACCGGUG
rnacentral:rRNA from 1 species